rnacentral:tRNA from 1 species
GCCGAAGUGCUGAAAUGGUAGACAGGCACGCUUCAGGAGCGUGUGCUCUUUUGAGCGUGAGAGUUCAAAUCUCUCCUUCGGCA